UACGAAGGGGGCUAGCGUUGUUCGGAAUUACUGGGCGUAAAGCGCGCGCAGGCGGUUCUACAAGUCAGUGGUGAAAGCCCGGAGCUCAACUCCGGAACUGCCAUUGAAACUGCAGAACUUGAGGAUGAGAGAGGUGAGUGGAAUUCCCAGUGUAGAGGUGAAAUUCGUAGAUAUUGGGAAGAACACCGGUGGCGAAGGCGGCUCACUGGCUCAUUUCUGACGCUCAGGCGCGUACAGCGUGGGGAUCGAAACAGG
rnacentral:rRNA from 1 species